rnacentral:rRNA from 1 species
AUUGAACGCUGGCGGCAGGCCUAACACAUGCAAGUCGAGCGAGCGGCGGACGGGUGAGUAAUGUCUGUGAAACUGCCUGCUGGAGGGGGAUAACUACUGGAACCGGUAGCUAAUACCGCAUAUCAUCGGAUGUGCCCAGACGGGAUUAGCUAGUGGGUGGGUUAACGGUUCACCUAGGCGAGGAUCCCUAGCGGGUCUGAGAGGAUGACCAGCAACAGUGGAACUGAGACACGGUCCAGACUCCUACGGGAGGCAGCAGUGGGGAAUAUUGCACAAUGGGCGCAAGGCUGAUGCAGCCAUGCCGCGUGUGUGAAGAAGGCCUUCGGGUUGUAAAGCACUUUCAGCGGGGAGGCGUUACCCGCAGAAGAAGCACCGGCUAACUCCGUGCCAGCAGCCGCGGUAAUUC